GGAAGUGUGCCCGAAAACAAGGACUACUUUGAUAAAGCAGACAUGGAACCAAGCAACAUUCCCACUUCCC
rnacentral:tRNA from 1 species